UGCUGCUGGUGAAAUUGCUGCUGAAUUACAAGGUACUCCAGACUUCAUAAUUGGAAACUACAGUGAUGGAAAUCUUGUGGCAUCGUUGCUAUCUUACAAGAUGGGAAUUACCCAUUGCAACAUUGCUCAUGCUCUGGAAAAGACUAAGUAUCCAGAUUCAGACAUAUUUUGGAAGAAUUUUGAUGAGAAGUACCAUUUCUCCUGUCAGUUCACUACUGAUAUAAUUGCUAUGAACAAUGCUGAUUUUAUCAUCACCAGCACAUACCAAGAAAUUGCUGGAAGCAAAAAUAUUGUUGGACAGUAUGAGAGUCAUAUUGCCUUUACUCCGAGUUGUCCAUGGGAUCGAUGUCUUCGAUCCAAAGUUCAAUAUAGUCUCUCCUGGAGCUGACAUGUCCAUAUACUUUCCACAUACCGAGAAGGCCAAGCGACUCACCUCUCCAUGGUUCAAUCGAAAAUUUGAUUUAUGACCCGGAGCAAAACGAUGAACACAUUGGGCAUCUGGAUGACCGGUCAAAGCCCAUCCUCUUCUCCAUGGCAAGACUCGACAGGGUGAAGGACAUAACAGGGCUGGUCGAAGCUUUUGCUAAGUGCGCUAAGCUGAGGGAGCUGGCAAACCUUGUUGUCGUUGCCGGGUACAAUGAUGUCAAGAAGUC